rnacentral:rRNA from 1 species
UACGUAGGGCGCAAGCGUUGUCCGGAAUUAUUGGGCGUAAAGCGCACGUAGGCGGCUUGUCAAGUCGGAUGUGAAAUCCCUCGGCUCAACCAAGGAAGUGCAUCCGAAACUGCUGAGCUUGAGUACGAAAGAGGAUCGCGGAAUUCCCGGUGUAGAGGUGAAAUUCGUAGAUAUCGGGAGGAACACCAGUGGCGAAGGCGGCGAUCUGGGUCGAUACUGACGCUGAGGUGCGAAAGCGUGGGGAGCAAACAGG